AAUACUUACAUUUUGCAGUCAGAUACAAAGGAAAUAGCAUUUAGUGUCGCACGUAAAUGCCCUGAAACCACGAUUGUAAAUCUCAUAUCUUCUAUUCUUCCUUUCUUGCUAUUUAAGCAACCGGACUCACAUUUCUAUAUCUCGGCCAAGUUUCUGAGCAAAAUUGCGCCUUAAAUUUAGAUGAUGAAAAAAUUGGUAGGUCGGUCGAUGAUAAUUCUCCACAUCACACUAGUCAACCAACCUAUCAAUUUUUGAAUGAAAAGAUUGAAUCAUGGUGAAUAGAAUGCAGACUUGCUUCUCAUCUGUGGCUUGCUCGUUCGCCAGUUCUGACACAAAUGGCUUUUGGAAGUCGUGAAAGAUAUCGUUCAUAGUUUGGAUAGAUGAGUUACAUCCGUUAAAUAAUUAAAUACAGUUUAAUAUAGUUUUUAUAAUUGUUUAUAAUUAUAAUAGUUUAAUAUAAUUAAAUAUAGCUUUUAUUGCCUUAAUAUUGGGUAGAAAAUUGGCCGAAAUAUAGAAUGUAAAUAACGAGAAGAAAAGAAAGAGAAAAAGAAAGGAAGAUAUAGGAGAACAGUUGAGUUGCGAUCGAUGGUUCCUUUAAGGCUUUGAUCUUCGUGACGAGUACAAUACGAUGCAAUAAGAACAAAAAUUUGUCUUUGAAUUACAAGGCAAAGUUUAAUUUUACGGCUACUUUUUUGAAAAUCUAUACCGAUCCAAAGUCGUAGAAUAACAUUGUGAUGAUCAUGAUAGAUUAUUUUCGAAUACCCCGUGUAACUGUAGAUUCUGAUCGUGGAUACGAUUUUAUACGAUUUUCAAUGUACGUCAUAGAUUAUCGACAUAGGAAGGUAUAAGAUAAACGUAAGAUUUACUGCGACACCUAUUGACUUGUUGAAGAUGUUUGUAUUGUAUCCUGAUAAUAUGAUUAUUGUGCAGAUGUGUAAAUUGUCCAACGAUUUGACAUCUUGUAUAAAAAAUAAUAAAUAAUUUGUAUCUCUA